UAUGCUCUUCCGUCGAUACUCCAAUCGAAUGGGAAAACCCGAGCAAAUUCUUACGCUCAUGUUGUCGCUGCUGAUUUCAGCUUCUCUCCUCGAAUUUUCUUUCGAAAAAUAUGUUUCAUUGCAUCGUCUUAAUCUGUUCCAUUUGAUUAAAACAGAUCAGCAAUAAUGCCAUCAACAGUCAUACAAUAAUUCUUACAUUCAAGGUUAAACAGAUAUCGGAAGCUGGAAAUCGUUCACACUCAAUAACCUCUCCUAUCUCUCCAAGCAGUCAAUCAACUUAAAUUGCCCUCGCUUUAAAUCAACAUUCUUUUCUUUCGUUACAGGUUUGUAUUACACCACACUGCUAACACCCAGAUUAUCGUCUAGUACGUACGCUCAUCCCUCGCAUGUGAUAUGCGCAACAUUACUCAGAAGCACGGUCCUCAAAGUAUGACAAGAUGUA